UACGUAGGGUGCGAGCGUUGUCCGGAAUUACUGGGCGUAAAGAGCUCGUAGGUGGUUUGUCGCGUUGUCCGUGAAAACUCACAACUCAAUUGUGGGCGUGCGGGCGAUACGGGCAGACUGGAGUACUGCAGGGGAGACUGGAAUUCCUGGUGUAGCGGUGGAAUGCGCAGAUAUCAGGAGGAACACCGGCUGGCGAAGGCGGGUCUCUGGGCAGUAACUGACGCUGAGGAGCGAAAGCGUGGGGAGCGAACAGGA
rnacentral:rRNA from 1 species